rnacentral:rRNA from 1 species
GCAGUCGAGCGAGCAUAACCAGCAGAUUUACUUCGGUAAUGACGCUGGGGACGCGAGCGGCGGAUGGGUGAGUAACACGUGGGGAACCUGCCCCAUAGCCUGGGAUACCACUUGGAAACAGGUGCUAAUACCGGAUAAGAAAGCAGAUCGCAUGAUCAGCUUAUAAAAGGCGGCGUAAGCUGUCGCUAUGGGAUGGCCCCGCGGUGCAUUAGCUAGUUGGUAAGGUAACGGCUUACCAAGGCAAUGAUGCAUAGCCGAGUUGAGAGACUGAUCGGCCACAUUGGGACUGAGACACGGCCCAAACUCCUACGGGAGGCAGCAGUAGGGAAUCUUCCACAAUGGACGCAAGUCUGAUGGAGCAACGCCGCGUGAGUGAAGAAGGUUUUCGGAUCGUAAAGCUCUGUUGUUGGUGAAGAAGGAUAGAGGUAGUAACUGGCCUUUAUUUGACGGUAAUCAACCAGAAAGUCACGGCUAACUACGUGCCAGCAGCCGCGGUAAUACGUAGGUGGCAAGCGUUGUCCGGAUUUAUUGGGCGUAAAGCGAGCGCAGGCGGAAGAAUAAGUCUGAUGUGAAAGCCCUCGGCUUAACCGAGGAACUGCAUCGGAAACUGUUUUUCUUGAGUGCAGAAGAGGAGAGUGGAAUUCCAUGUGUAGCGGUGG